rnacentral:rRNA from 1 species
CCUACGGGAGACAGCAGUGAGGAAUAUUGGUCAAUGGCCGGAAGGCUGAACCAGCCAUGCCGCGUGAAGGUCAGUGCCCUAUGGGCGUUAAACUUCUUUUGUGCGGGAGCAAUAAUGGUCACGUGUGGCCAGACGAGAGUACCGUACGAAUAAGCAUCGGCUAACUCCGUGCCAGCAGCCGCGGUAAUACGGGGGAUGCAAGCGUUAUCCGGAUUUAUUGGGUGUAAAGGGUGCGUAGGCUGUGAGGUAAGUCAGCGGGGAAAUGCCCCCGCUCAACGGGGUGAAGUGCCAUUGAUACUGCCUUGCUGGAAUGCGGAUGCGGUGGGAGGAAUGUGUGGUGUAGCGGUGAAAUGCAUAGAUAUCACACAGAACACCGAUUGCGAAGGCAUCUCACGAAUCCGCGAUUGACGCUGAUGCACGAAAGCGUGGGUAUCAAACAGGAUUAGAUACCCGGGUAGUC